GGCGUGCUUAACACAUGCAAGUCGAACGAACNUUCGGGUUAGUGGCGGACGGGUGAGUAACGCGUGGGAAUCUGCCCUCAGGAGGGGGAUAACGGUUGGAAACGACCGCUAAUACCCCAUAUGCCGAGAGGUGAAAUGAAUUUCGCCUGAGGAUGAGCCCGCGUCUGAUUAGCUUGUUGGUGAGGUAAUGGCUCACCAAGGCAUCGAUCAGUAGCUGGUCUGAGAGGAUGAUCAGCCACACUGGGACUGAGACACGGCCCAGACUCCUACGGGAGGCAGCAGUGGGGAAUUUUCCGCAAUGGGCGAAAGCCUGACGGAGCAACGCCGCGUGAGGGACGAAGGCCUCUGGGCUGUAAACCUCUUUUCUCAAGGAAGAAGAUAUGACGGUACUUGAGGAAUAAGCCACGGCUAAUUCCGUGCCAGCAGCCGCGGUAAUACGGGAGUGGCAAGCGUUAUCCGGAAUUAUUGGGCGUAAAGCGUCCGCAGGCGGCCUUUCAAGUCUGCUGUUAAAGCGUGGAGCUUAACUCCAUCAUGGCAGUGGAAACUGAUUGGCUUGAGUAUGGUAGGGGCAGAGGGAAUUCCCGGUGUAGCGGUGAAAUGCGUAGAUAUCGGGAAGAACACCAGUGGCGAAGGCGCUCUGCUGGGCCAUUACUGACGCUCAUGGACGAAAGCCAGGGGAGCGAAAGGGAUUAGAUACCCCUGUAGUCCUGGCCGUAAACGAUGAACACUAGGUGUCGGGGGAAUCGACCCCUUCGGUGUCGUAGCUAACGCGUUAAGUGUUCCGCCUGGGGAGUAC
rnacentral:rRNA from 1 species